CGGAACCGCAGAGAUGUGGGUGUGCCCGAAAAGGGAACCGUAACACAGGUGCUGCAUGGCUGUCGCCAGCUCGGUGUCGUGAGAUGUUGGGUUAAGUCCCGCAACGAGCGCAACCCUUGCCAUUAGUUGCUACAUUCAGUUGGGCACUCUAAUGGGACUGCCGGUGACAAACCGGAGGAAGGUGGGGAUGACGUCAAGUCCUCAUGGCCCUUAUGGGUAGGGCUUCACACGUAAUACAAUGGUCGGUACAGAGGGCUGCCAACCCGCGAGGGGGAGCAAAUCUCAGAAAGCCGAUCGUAGUCCGGAUUGUAGUCUGCAACUCGACUGCAUGAAGCCGGAAUCGCUAGUAAUCGCGGAUCAGCACGUCGCGGUGAAUACGUUCCCGGGUCUUGUACACACCGCCCGUCACACCAUGGGAGUGGGUUUCACCAGAAGUAGUUAGCCUAACCGCAAGGAGGGCGACUACCACGGUGAGAUUCAUGACUGGGGUGAAGUCGUCGUAACAAGGUAGCCGUAA
rnacentral:rRNA from 1 species